AUCCUAAGGUGUGCGAGAGAACUCUGGUUAAGGAACUCGGCAAAAUGACCCCGUAACUUCGGGAGAAGGGGUGCUUUCUUAACGGAAAGCCGCAGUGAAUAGGCCCAAGCGACUGUUUAGCAAAAACACAGCUCUCUGCGAAGCCGUAAGGCGAAGUAUAGGGGGUGACACCUGCCCGGUGCUGGAAGGUUAAGGAGAGGGGUUAGCGUAAGCGAAGCUCUGAACUGAAGCCCCAGUAAACGGCGGCCGUAACUAUAACGGUCCUAAGGUAGCGAAAUUCCUUGUCGGGUAAGUUCCGACCCGCACGAAAGGUGUAACGAUUUGGGCACUGUCUCAACCAGAGACUCGGUGAAAUUAUAGUACCUGUGAAGAUGCAGGUUACCCGCGACAGGACGGAAAGACCCCGUGGAGCUUUACUGUAGCCUGAUAUUGAAUUUUGGUACAGUUUGUACAGGAUAGGCGGGAGCCAUUGAAACCGGAGCGCUAGCUUCGGUGGAGGCGCUGGUGGGAUACCGCCCUGACUGUAUUGAAAUUCUAACCUACGGGUCUUAUCGACCCGGGAGACAGUGUCAGGUGGGCAGUUUGACUGGGGCGGUCGCCUCCUAAAGUGUAACGGAGGCGCCCAAAGGUUCCCUCAGAAUGGUUGGAAAUCAUUCGUAGAGUGCAAAGGCAUAAGGGAGCUUGACUGCGAGACCUACAAGUCGAGCAGGGACGAAAGUCGGGCUUAGUGAUCCGGUGGUUCCGCAUGGAAGGGCCAUCGCUCAACGGAUAAAAGCUACCCCGGGGAUAACAGGCUUAUCUCCCCCAAGAGUCCACAUCGACGGGGAGGUUUGGCACCUCGAUGUCGGCUCAUCGCAUCCUGGGGCUGUAGUCGGUCCCAAGGGUUGGGCUGUUCGCCCAUUAAAGCGGUACGCGAGCUGGGUUCAGAACGUCGUGAGACAGUUCGGUCCCUAUCCGUCGUGGGCGUAGGAAAUUUGAGAGGAGCUGUCCUUAGUACGAGAGGACCGGGAUGGACGCACCGCUGGUGUACCAGUUGUUCUGCCAAGGGCAUAGCUGGGUAGCUAUGUGCGGAAGGGAUAAGUGCUGAAAGCAUCUAAGCAUGAAGCCCCCCUCAAGAUGAGAUUUCCCAUAGCGUAAGCUAGUAAGAUCCCUGAAAGAUGAUCAGGUUGAUAGGUUCGAGGUGGAAGCAUGGUGACAUGUGGAGCUGACGAAUACUAAUAGAUCGAGGACUUAACCAUAUAA
rnacentral:rRNA from 1 species